UACGGAGAGUGCAAGCGUUAUCCGGAUUCACUGGGUUUAAAGGGUGCGUAGGUGGGCAAGUAAGUCAGUGGUGAAAUCUCCGGGCUUAACCCGGAAACUGCCAUUGAUACUAUUUGUCUUGAAUACUGUGGAGGUCAGCGGAAUAUGUCAUGUAGCGGUGAAAUGCUUAGAUAUGACAUAGAACACCAAUUGCGAAGGCAGCUGGCUACAGAAAUAUUGACACUGAGGCACGAAAGCGUGGGGAUCAAACAGG
rnacentral:rRNA from 1 species